rnacentral:rRNA from 1 species
AAAUUACUUGUAAUUUGAUGGCGACCGGCGAACGGGUGCGUAACGCGUAUGCAACUUACCUUUUACUAGAGAAUAGCCAAGAGAAAUUUUGGUUAAUGCUCUAUACACUUAUUAAUUCUCAUGAAUCUAUAAGAAAAGCUCCGGCGGUAAAAGAUGGGCAUGCGUCCUAUUAGCUUGUAGGUGAGGUAACGGCUCACCUAAGCUCCGAUAGGUAGGGGUCCUGAGAGGGAGAUCCCCCACACUGGUACUGAGACACGGACCAGACUUCUACGGAAGGCAGCAGUAAGGAAUAUUGGACAAUGGAGGCAACUCUGAUCCAGCCAUGCCGCGUGAAGGAAGACGGCCUUAUGGGUUGUAAACUUCUUUUAUACAGGAAGAAACCUUUCCACGUGUGGAAAGCUGACGGUACUGUAAGAAUAAGGAUCGGCUAACUCCGUGCCAGCAGCCGCGGUAAUACGGAGGAUCCAAGCGUUAUCCGGAAUUAUUGGUUUAAAGGGUCCGCAGGCUGUUUGUUAAGUCAGAGAUGAAAUCCUACCGCUCAACGGUAGAACUGCCUUUGAUACUGGCAAACUUGAGUUAUUGUGAAGUAGUUAGAAUGUGUAGUGUAGCGGUGAAAUGCAUAGAUAUUACACAGAAUACC